AAAUUGAAGAGUUUGAUCAUGGCUCAGAUUGAACGCUGGCGGCAGGCCUAACACAUGCAAGUCGAACGGUAACAGGAAGCAGCUUGCUGCUUUGCUGACGAGUGGCGGACGGGUGAGUAAUGUCUGGGAAACUGCCUGAUGGAGGGGGAUAACUACUGGAAACGGUGGCUAAUACCGCAUAACGUCGCAAGACCAAAGAGGGGGACCUUCGGGCCUCUUGCCAUCAGAUGUGCCCAGAUGGGAUUAGCUUGUUGGUGAGGUAACGGCUCACCAAGGCGACGAUCCCUAGCUGGUCUGAGAGGAUGACCAGCCACACUGGAACUGAGACACGGUCCAGACUCCUACGGGAGGCAGCAGUGGGGAAUAUUGCACAAUGGGCGCAAGCCUGAUGCAGCCAUGCCGCGUGUAUGAAGAAGGCCUUCGGGUUGUAAAGUACUUUCAGCGGGGAGGAAGGUGUUGUGGUUAAUAACCACAGCAAUUGACGUUACCCGCAGAAGAAGCACCGGCUAACUCCGUGCCAGCAGCCGCGGUAAUACGGAGGGUGCAAGCGUUAAUCGGAAUUACUGGGCGUAAAGCGCACGCAGGCGGUCUGUCAAGUCGGAUGUGAAAUCCCCGGGCUCAACCUGGGAACUGCAUUCGAAACUGGCAGGCUUGAGUCUUGUAGAGGGGGGUAGAAUUCCAGGUGUAGCGGUGAAAUGCGUAGAGAUCUGGAGGAAUACCGGUGGCGAAGGCGGCCCCCUGGACAAAGACUGACGCUCAGGUGCGAAAGCGUGGGGAGCAAACAGGAUUAGAUACCCUGGUAGUCCACGCCGUAAACGAUGUCUACUUGGAGGUUGUGCCCUUGAGGCGUGGCUUCCGGAGCUAACGCGUUAAGUAGACCGCCUGGGGAGUACGGCCGCAAGGUUAAAACUCAAAUGAAUUGACGGGGGCCCGCACAAGCGGUGGAGCAUGUGGUUUAAUUCGAUGCAACGCGAAGAACCUUACCUGGUCUUGACAUCCACGGAAGAAUUCAGAGAUGGAUUUGUGCCUUCGGGAACCGUGAGACAGGUGCUGCAUGGCUGUCGUCAGCUCGUGUUGUGAAAUGUUGGGUUAAGUCCCGCAACGAGCGCAACCCUUAUCCUUUGUUGCCAGCGAUUAGGUCGGGAACUCAAAGGAGACUGCCAGUGAUAAACUGGAGGAAGGUGGGGAUGACGUCAAGUCAUCAUGGCCCUUACGACCAGGGCUACACACGUGCUACAAUGGCGCAUACAAAGAGAAGCGACCUCGCGAGAGCAAGCGGACCUCAUAAAGUGCGUCGUAGUCCGGAUUGGAGUCUGCAACUCGACUCCAUGAAGUCGGAAUCGCUAGUAAUCGUGGAUCAGAAUGCCACGGUGAAUACGUUCCCGGGCCUUGUACACACCGCCCGUCACACCAUGGGAGUGGGUUGCAAAAGAAGUAGGUAGCUUAACCUUCGGGAGGGCGCUUACCACUUUGUGAUUCAUGACUGGGGUGAAGUCGUAACAAGGUAACCGUAGGGGAACCUGCGGUUGGAUCACCUCCUUA
rnacentral:rRNA from 1 species